UUAAACUGAUUCUACAUAAUGAAACACACGAGAUCCUGUGCACACCUGAGUGUCAUUAUAUCACACACCUGUGUCUCCCUGCUCAGCACAGACCUGCCAGAUCACAUCUCUCAUAACAGCAAGACAAGCUGCACAAUCUGCAAGUUUAAGUGUGGCAGAAGUCUGUACACAUCAGUCCUGAAGAAUUUACCAAUCAUAGCACUGAGAGGUUGUGCUGAAAAUGGAGUGCCAAGAAGUCACAUAGUGGUACGAAGUGGCAAAGUGGCUGAGGCCAAGUUAAGUCCGUUUACUAUCUGAAUGAAGCCUCCACGGGGGAAAGGAACACGUAUAUAGACAUCAGAAAAGAACAGAACAGAAAUAUAAAUGGCAGGCAAGAGAAGCAAAAUCAAGUCAAAUAUAAAAAAGGUUUAAAGAGGAGUAAGAAAAAAAAAAAGAGGACGAAAAGUCCAUCCAGACCAGCAUGCAAGAGCAACGCAUCUGACAAGCGACAACGGUUAUGGGAAGGAUCGUCAGACAGGACAUCAUUGGCUGUCAGUCUUCAGUGACACAGAGAAUCCUCACAUUCAAUGACCAAAGGAUGGCCACCACCUCUUCAUCCUGGAUGACUUCCAGCGAUCCCGACACCACAAAGCACAGAGCAUCAACACUUUCGCCGGCAUGGUA